rnacentral:lncRNA from 1 species
CUUGACAUUAAAUUCAUAAAUGUUUCUUAAUAACAUAAAUUCAAAAAGUAAAAAUGAAAUUAAUUAUAUCAUUCAACUUGAAUCUCUUCAACAUCUUCAUCUCCAUCCACAAAUACUAUCGCCUCUAAUUUCAGUUUGUCUAGAGAUAAAUUAGCAACUUCAAGCACACCAACAUCUUCAAAUGUAUCAACUGCAUCUCCACCAAUAUCCCACAUUUUAGUCUCUUCUUUUGAGUAUUGCGCACUUGAUGUGAUUUGGCUUGGGCGCCAAACGACCAAGGAUUUGAUGUAUGUUGGAGGGAACCUAAGGACAAGAUUCAAGCUUCGUUCGGGCCAACAAACCCGUAUAAAUGCAUGGUCGAGUUAUGAAUUUCGAUAUGGUGGAGUCAACGAGCCAAAGUCCAGGAUUUGUAUUGAGGUUAAAGGAUGAAAACCAAUUGAAUCAAGUUGUUGGAAGAAAAUCGAGUUUGGAGCAAAAACCAAGUAACCAUGCGAUCGCAUGGUUAAAACCAUCGUGCGGCCGCAUGAGAGGGUGCAGGGAUUUCACGGGCAGCAGUCCAUAUGCCAUCCGACCGCAGCUAAAUACAUGUCGCGGUCGCAUAGGUGAUUUUUGGCCAGAAAAUUUCAUUUCCGCGCGAGAAAAUUUGUUUUGAGUCAAUUUCUUAUUUUUGGUAACUUCAAUAUUAUUAGGACUCUAAUUUCGUGUUUUACAAUAUUUUAGGAGUUUAUUCCUUUUUAAAUUAGGUUUUAUAUUCUUUAGCAUAAAUAGGAGUUUUAUGAUUCACUGGAAUAAGUUUGAUUAUGAAUUAAUGAGAGAUUUUCCUCUUCGAAGCUUUGCUUCAAAUUUAUCUUGUUCAUUAAAUUGAAUGGGGCGAACUUAUCAAGACUAAUCAUCUUAUGGCAUUCAAAACAUCGAAUUGAAUCAUUGAAUUGUGUAAUCAAAGGGUCUUUCGCGUCAACGUUACCGUUGGAUUUUUUGGUUCAUCUUUUAUUGGUUCAAAUCCACAACCCAGGUGUGAUUUCUUCAAUCGUGUGAUCAAGAGGUCUUUCAAACAACGUUCUUGUUGGGUUGCUUGGUUCACUAUUUUGGGGUCAGAUCCAUAAACCUUAG